GACGAACCGUGCAAACGUUGUUCGGAAUCACUGGGCGUAAAGCGCACGUAGGCGGCUUGUUAAGUCAGGGGUGAAAUCCUGGAGCUCAACUCCAGAACUGCCUUUGAUACUGGCGAGCUUGAGUUCGGGAGAGGUGAGUGGAACUGCGAGUGUAGAGGUGAAAUUCGUAGAUAUUCGCAAGAACACCAGUGGCGAAGGCGGCUCACUGGCCCGAUACUGACGCUGAGGCACGAAAGCGUGGGGAGCAAACAGG
rnacentral:rRNA from 1 species